GGCUUCGCCUGUUUAACAAAAACAUAGUUUAAAGAAAAAGAUUUUAGAUAAAUUCUGCUCAAUGAGUAAAUUAAAUAGCUGCAGUAAAUUAACUGUACUAAGGUAGCAUAAUAAGUUGCUUUAUAAUUAAAAGCUUGAAUGAAAGAAAUAAUGUGAAACAAGCUUUUUAAACUAAAGUAGUAAAAAUUAAUAUUUAAGUGAAAAAUCUUAAAUAAAAUCAAAAGACAAGAAGACCCUUUAGAACUUUACAAAUUAACUUAAUUUCAUUUGGUUAAUUUGUUAGAUUGGGGAGAUUUUUAAAUAAAUAAAUCUUUAGAUAUAAAAAAAUGAUUUAAAUCAAAUUAAAUUAUCCAAAUAUGAAAUAAAACAAGUUACCUAAGGGAUAACAGCGCAAAAUUUUUGAGAAGUUCUCAUUUACAAAAUAAAUUGCGACCUCGAUGUUGGAUUAAGAACAACUUAUAAAGAAAAAUUUAUAAGAGUUGGUCUGUUCGCCCAAUAAUCUU
rnacentral:rRNA from 1 species